AAAGUUUUAAGCAGGCUGCCUGGCCCACAGAUCAGGCCUCUCCUCUUUGAAUCCUACUGACCAAAUUUGUCAGAAUACACUACUUCCUUGGGACAUCAUUCAUGCACCUUUUUAAUGGGAUCUUUCUUGGGGGAAGCAGGUAACACAGACGAGGAGGAGACCUUCUCCACCCCUUCACAGGGACACAACUGACAAUGAAAGUGGCUAAGUAUUUCAGUGUCUUGCCAGCAGAAUUGAGAAUAUUCCCAGCGCUACAGAGAACUUGGAAGAGAGAACAGCCAUUACCAAAAUUCCCAUCAGCCUAAAGACCAAAUGAGAAAGUGGGGAGAUCAUGAUGCAAAAAACAGAUUACUGAAGUCAAAGUGAGACCCAGUUGAGGACUCUGACCUCAACAUUUUAUCCUCAUCAGCUGAGAACUUUCAGGAGAAACUCAUUUGAACACAACAUGCAGCAUGGAUCUUCUAACACUAGAUUCUUGUUGAAAUUGAUUAUAAUUAAAGCAAUUGUGGUGCACUUUAUCUUUUCAUUAUCACUACAAGAAUGUUAUCCUUGUGAAAUUAUAAAAUCCUAUGUCAAAAUUCAUAUAGGAUAUCUUUUAAGAAAGCGACACCAAACAGGUUCACAGACUGCAAAGUGCCCUUGGCCAAGCCACACUGGACUGAAAAAUGCUAAACCAAGAGGUGAAUCUGCAUACAGAAAGUAAUCUAGUUUGCAUCCCUACUGCAGCAGACUGAAGUUUCCUGCUGGAAGUGCACAACAGGCAAGACACAUUCCCAUGGACCUUCUAUCGCACUUACGCUAUAUCAUAGCCCAUGGAUUGCUAGACCCAAAACAAUGGAUUCUAUCCCAUGGAUCUCAGAGUACAAGGUCUUCAAUUGGUCUCUGUACCUUGUUAUCCUGGACAGUCCACUGCCCUUCUGCAUUCUGCUGGAAGACACAGUGCUUACGAGAGAUCAUCAAGGGACAGGUUUUUGACACCAGCUGGUACGUGAUAUCUAAUCCUCGGCCAAUAGUCACCUAAAAAUAAAGUAGUGUAGUUACUGCAAUCA